rnacentral:rRNA from 1 species
GACGAACGCUGGCGGCGUGCCUAAUACAUGCAAGUUGAGCGAUGAAGAUUGGUGCUUGCACCAAUUUGCAGAGCAGCGAACGGGUGAGUAACGCGUGGGGAAUCUGCCUUUGAGCGGGGGACAACAUUUGGAAACGAAUGCUAAUACCGCAUAACAACUUUAAACAUAAGUUUUAAGUUUGAAAGAUGCAAUUGCAUCACUCAAAGAUGAUCCCGCGUUGUAUUAGCUAGUUGGUGAGGUAAAGGCUCACCAAGGCGAUGAUACAUAGCCGACCUGAGAGGGUGAUCGGCCACAUUGGGACUGAGACACGGCCCAAACUCCUACGGGAGGCAGCAGUAGGGAAUCUUCGGCAAUGGACGAAAGUCUGACCGAGCAACGCCGCGUGAGUGAAGAAGGGUUUCGGAUCGUAAAACUCUGUUGGUAGAGAAGAACGUUGGUGAGAGUGGAAAGCUCAUCAAGUGACGGUAACUACCCAGAAAGGGACGGCUAACUACGUG